GGUUGAGUCUAUUGCAUAGAAGAGAUUUUUGCAACAAUUGUAGUUUGUUUUUAAAUAUCCUGUGAAAAACAAGGAAGAAGAGCUCAAAAAGAUGAAAUGAUUGUGCAAUGCAUAUGUGUGACGUACAUUUGUUGGAAUUUAACAGACAUAAUAGUCUUGGAUUUGUGAUAGUGAUUGGAUUAUGUCUGCGUGAAAAUGUGAUUCUAGAAUUUUUCUGAUCUAAUCUGAAUGUCUUUGCAUAAAGAACUGUUG
rnacentral:lncRNA from 1 species